GACGAACCGUCCAAACGUUAUUCGGAAUUAUUGGGCUUAAAGGGUGCGUAGGCUGUGCAGUAAGUUGGGUGUGAAAUCCCUCGGCUCAACCGAGGAACUGCGCCGAAUACUGCUGUGCUAGAGGAAGAUAGGGGUAAGCGGAACUGAUGGUGGAGCGGUGAAAUGCGUUGAUAUCAUCAGGAACACCGGUGGCGAAGGCGGCUUACUGGUCCGGUUCUGACGCUGAGGCGCGAAAGCGUGGGGAGCAAACAGG
rnacentral:rRNA from 1 species